UGGACACACAGUUUAACAUGAUGGACUACAGGACAGGACUGCUGCUGUUAACUAUCUGCUGGGCAGGUGUUGAUGGUCAGACUCUGACAGAAUCUGAACCAGCGAUUAAAAGGCCUGGAGAAUCCCACAAAUUGACCUGUACAGCCUCUGGAUUUAACUUUGCUGACUACUGGAUGAACUGGGUCAGACAGGCUCCUGGAAAAGGACUGGAGUGGGUUGCUAUAAUCAAAUAUGACAGUGGUGAGAUCUACUACUCUCAGUCAGUUAAAGGCCGGUUCACCAUCUCCAGAGACAACAACAGACAGCAGCUGUAUCUGCAGAUGAACAGUCUGAAGACUGAAGAUACUGCUGUUUAUUAUUGUGCACGAUACACACAGUGUAUGGUGGUGGUUGAGCAGCUGUACAAAAAGAGAGGAAGGAGUAAUGCU